UCGUAUGCGACAACAGGAGAAAAUUCAUUCAGUUGCAGAAAUCCCAAGCAACGCUCAUAUUUUUCUCCAAGUCCUAUUGUUGCGGUCUUGUUUUCAGAGCAGUUCGGUGUCGGAAGUCGGAGAAAAUUACCGAGAAACCGGGAGAUAAAUAGCCCACAUAUUUCAACAUUAGUAACCGGAGGAAACGGCCAUAUCAGCAUGCUAAUAUACGCGGUCCGACAAGUGGCCCGGAAGAGGCCACCUUUACAAUAUUAUUUCGAGAGUUACCUUAAGCUUCAAACAAUGAAAUAAAACUAAAAAAAAUAA